rnacentral:lncRNA from 1 species
GCAAGUCCAUUCAAGUACCUCCUUUGUACCUACCUGCUUUAGAGACCAGCUGACAGUUAUAGAAUUGCUAUAAGUAAAAUUCAACUGUCAAUUAGCAGUAAUUCAUUACUCCAUCAUGAAUAAUUUGACUAACCAUGAAAUGACCGACAUGCACUUUAUUUAUGGAUUAGCAAAUGGAGAUGCGGAAGAAGCACGAAGAAUUUACCAGGACAGAUCUGCCCUCCUUAGUUAAAACGUCCUUACUACAAAAUUCUCUUUUUUUGGCUUAUUACAUUUUAUUGACCUAUCAAAUGGUAUCUGCCUCCUUGGCUAAAUUAGAAAGUCCUAACUACAUUUUUUAUGCCUUAAAUUCACCUAAAUAUAUUGUUCGAUGUGCAGAAAAGACGAUAAUCCCAAAUUAAAAUGUCCUAUCUAUCUUUUUCUAAGUUAAAAUGUCCUAAGUAGCUUUCCGUUUGUAGAAUAUUCAUUGAUGAGACGAGAGAGACACACCUUGUGCAUUCAGAAGUAUAAUAUAAGGGAUUUCAGGUUUCUCUGGAAGACAAGAAUCUAAAAGUUGUUCAAAACAGGAGGCAUAAUGUCAAAUCCUUUGGAACGCAAUAACUCAAAUUCAAAACCUUAAAACCACUUGAAAUUUCCAGGACUAAAAGUUCAAUAGAGGCUUGAGAACUGUAUGGUUUUUGGAAAAAAUCGGUAUACAGGAAGGGUUGUUUAGAGCCAACAAAAGUCAGGAGCAAAAUUCUAAGAGUCGUAAAAAAACAGCCUAAAUGAAAAUAUGACUGGAUUUAUAGUCCAGGUUUCAAACUCUAUGAAAUGCUUUCGAAUAUGCCAGUAGAGGCAUAUUCGAAAAAUGCUAAGCAAAGGGGUUGCGGGUCGAAAUAAGGAAGAUUUAAUUUCACCUUUUUUUUAAUUUUUUUUAUAUAUAACAGAGACUUAUGUUACGAUCUGGCUUGACGACUGUACAACUCAAAACAAAAAUUGGGCUUUAUUUUCUUUUUGUUUACGUUGUAAACUCUUUCGAAACUGAACUGCAGAAUUUGGAAAUAAAAUACUUUCAUCUGGCCACACUUUUAUGUCCGCGGACUCGUUCCAUCACCAAGUAGAACAAUUAUUGAAAAGGUACGGUAAGGUGAUCGAUUUUAAUGAUUUUAAAUCCGUCUGUAGAAAUGGCAAACUUAUCUAAGGUCCAUGUAAAAGAGAUGAACUUUUUUGAAUGGAAAGAUUGUUCAUCCAAGUUUAAGCUUCAAAAAAAUAUUCUCAAACCUUACUUGCAGAAUAUGGUACAUUUGCACUUUAAUAGGGGAUAAAAUGUGUUGUACUACAAAAAUGCCUUUUCGGAAGAACCAAAACCUUCUUGCCGAACACAAUGUCAAGGUGUAAAAUUAAAAUGCAAGCAAAAUUUGAUUUCUAAGCUACGUCCUAUUAUUCCGGCUAACCGAAUGAUAUUCUGGAGGAAUUAGCCGUUUCCCAAAAUAAUGAUACUGACAAUAAAGAAAAUGUAGAUUUCCAGUAAGAGUAAAGCACUUUUUCCAUUCAUAAUUUACUUUAAUACUGUUUUUAAUGUUUUAAUGUUUUAUUAGUUAGUAAUUUAGUUAUAAUGUUAAUUUGAAAUGUAACUCCUGUGUCUUUAAUAAAAAUCAGUCCAAAUAUAUAGGUAUAUAUAUAUUUUUUAAUUAUAAUUACUUUAGUAAGUUAAAAAGUCCUAUCUAACUUUUUUUUCGAAAAUUUCACCAAAUAUUGAAUCUAGUCCCUUAUUAAACAAAUGUAAAAAGCACAUUUUUAAGCAUAUACAAAGAAGCAGGGAAUUGCUUUAAAACAUGAGGACUGCAUAUUAGUUUUCAUAAAAUCUCAAUUUUCUCAGCUUUAUCGAUUUGCGAGUUAGGAUGUUUUAACUAAGGACGGCAGAGAUAUCCUAACAGAGUAAUUCCAUGUGCAAAAACAUUUAGAAAACUACAUGCAAGAUUAUGUGAAACUGGGAGUUUUAAUAAAAAUAUGGGUGGUGGAAGACCAGAAACUAUAACAGCGCCUGAACUGGAAGAAGCUAUACUUAAUGCGAUAGAAGAAGAUCCUUCCAAUAGUAUCAGGAAGAUUGCACUGCAGCUUGAAGUCAGUUCAAAAACCGUUUGGAAGGUUCUAAAAAGAAACCUCCUGCAUCCAUAUCACAUACAGCGUGUACAAACUCUACUGCCUCGGGAUUUUCAUCCAAGAUUAAUGUUUUGCAGGUGGUUGAUUCAUACGAUGGCACACAAUAAUAAUUUCCUACCAAAUAUUUUAUUUACGGACGAGGCAAAUUUUUCAAGAGAUGCUAUUAUGAAAUUCCACAAUGAUCAUUUUUGGGCUUCCACGUUAUUAGAGAAACUCAUUUUCAGCAACAAUUUUCGCUGAACGUUUGGAUAUGAAUUAUUGGUGACUACCUAAUUGGCCCAUUUUUUUAACCGGCAAGAUUAACAGGUGAAUCCUACACGCAUUUCUUGCAACACCAUUUACCCACUUUAUUAGAAGAAGUACUUCUACAAGUAAGAGUCAACAUGCACGACGGGGCUCCAGCUUAUUUCAGUGUUCUUGCUCGUCAGCAUCUACCCUAAUUGCUGGAUUGGACUUGCAGGACCUCAAAAUUAGCCGGCUCUCAGUCCUGAUAUGAAUCCCCUGGAUUACUAUUUAUGGGGCCAUCUGAAGGCUCUUGUUUAUAAAACUCCUGUUCUAGAUGUGAAUGACUUGAGGAAUCGGAUAAUUGUCACUUGCAAUAUCAUAAGGAAUACUCCAGGUAUUUUUGAGCGUGUCAGACACUCAAUGAUAAAUAGUUUGCAGUCGUGCAUUUUAUCAGAAGGUGGGUGGAAAUUGUUUAUCGAAUUAAUUGGUUUUUAUUUCAUGUUGUCGUCCAUGGAUAAUUUUUAGAAUGAGUUAAAGAUACUUAAAAUUUUUUUUUUCAAAAAUAAAGCCAGAUAUGAAGAUAAUAAGAUAAGAUACGAAAAAAUUGUAUUUUUAGUUGCUUAUAUACAAAAAUAAAUAAGAAGCUGCAAAACAAUUAUUGGUCUUGUUUUUUUCUCAACAAUAAUAAGCAUGUGGUGCCCACUGACACGCCACUGGACCUAAUAAUUUCAAUCUAGUUACAGCUAAAUAAGCGUCUUAUAACUUUAAAUAACUGCACCAAAUCGGUUUAAGGAUAUUUAUAGUAUUUUUAAAAUACCGUUAUUUUUUUUAACCUUCAUCGCCCUGUAUCUCAGAAACAAAGCAACUCCCGACAUACGUUCAUUGAACUGAUUGAUUCACCCUGAAUAGUUUCGUACCGUAGUUAGGAAACACCCUGUAUUUUGUUAAGUUUUGAAUAAAGAACGCUGCAUUACAAAA